AAGAAUCUACGUUUGGGUUUGAAGAGGAGAGCCCGAAGCUGAGGCUUUGAUUGAAUGACCGUUGAAGGAGAAGGGAUUUGAAGGCUCUAAAGAAAUCGAGUUUCAUGUCGAAGGCUAUCGUAGCAGAGGAGUUAAUUUUGGAGAAGAAGAAUGGACUCGAGCGUGUGCACAUGGAUUUGGACAAAUGAUCGAAAGUCGGGAACGAAC